GACAAACUGUGCUGAAGUCAGAAAUCAACUGGCAUAUUCAGUCUGGAGGAAUCUCCCAGGGUACCAGUCGAAUGCAUUAAGAGUGUAUUUCUCCAGCAAGAAGUGAUGGGAAGAGCACAGAGCAAAAAGAAGAAAGAAGCAGGGAAGAAGAUGAAGAAAUAAUCUCUCGAAGGACGCAGUAAUACUACCAUCUAACUAAAAAGAAUUCAGACAUGCACACAAUCCUCAGGAAAAUUCAUCUCCACCCUCCCAACGGACUCUGAUUUCAGCAGGUGUGUCUGAGAGCAAG
rnacentral:lncRNA from 1 species